rnacentral:rRNA from 1 species
ACCAGACUCCUACGGGAGGCAGCAGUGGGGGAUAUUGCACAAUGGGGGGAACCCUGAUGCAGCGACGCCGCGUGGGUGAAGAAGCGCCUCGGCGCGUAAAGCCCUGUCAGCAGGGAAGAAAAUGACGGUACCUGAAGAAGAAGCCCCGGCUAACUACGUGCCAGCAGCCGCGGUAAUACGUAGGGGGCAAGCGUUAUCCGGAUUUACUGGGUGUAAAGGGGGCGCAGACGGCGAUGCAAGCCAGGAGUGAAAGCCCGGGGCCCAACCCCGGGACUGCUCUUGGAACUGCGUGGCUGGAGUGCAGGAGGGGCAGGCGGAAUUCCUGGUGUAGCGGUGAAAUGCGUAGAUAUCAGGAGGAACACCGGUGGGGAAGGCGGCCUGCUGGACUGCAACUGACGUUGAGGCCCGAAAGCGUGGGGAGCAAACAGGAUUAGAUACCCGGGUAA